rnacentral:rRNA from 1 species
AGUCGAGCGGAUGAGAGGAGCUUGCUCCUUGAUUUAGCGGCGGACGGGUGAGUAAUGCCUAGGAAUCUGCCUAGUGGUGGGGGAUAACGUUCCGAAAGGAACGCUAAUACCGCAUACGUCCUACGGGAGAAAGCGGGGGAUCUUCGGACCUCGCGCCAUUAGAUGAGCCUAGGUCGGAUUAGCUAGUUGGUGAGGUAAAGGCUCACCAAGGCGACGAUCCGUAACUGGUCUGAGAGGAUGAUCAGUCACACUGGAACUGAGACACGGUCCAGACUCCUACGGGAGGCAGCAGUGGGGAAUAUUGGACAAUGGGCGAAAGCCUGAUCCAGCCAUGCCGCGUGUGUGAAGAAGGUCUUCGGAUUGUAAAGCACUUUAAGUUGGGAGGAAGGGUAUUCACCUAAUACGUGAGUAUUUUGACGUUACCGACAGAAUAAGCACCGGCUAACUUCGUGCCAGCAGCCGCGGUAAUACGAAGGGUGCAAGCGUUAAUCGGAAUUACUGGGCGUAAAGCGCGCGUAGGU